AAGGCUGGUCAAGGUGAUAGUGGAGGAUGAGAAAAACUCAAAAUGGUUAAUGCAGGAUGGCAAAGAUGAGAACUAGUUGUAGCCCCCAGACCAACCAUAGCAAUGGGGGCUGCAGUUCCUCCUACUAAGCUUUGACUUCUACACUUCCCUUUAAGGAAAGAGGCCCACAGAACCAUGAAGAAGUUAGCUCCAGACUGACAUGAAGAAGUCAAUCUGUGUGAGGCAAAAUUUAAACUUUGGUGGGAGUGAAAAUGCACUACUCAGGACUCCUGCUCCUGGAGACAGAGUUAUCAGAUGGUCCCAGCUGCUGCAUCCACUGCUGAGCUCUGAAGCCACACUUCUGCUGGCUGCUCUAGCUAGCUAUGGAUGGGAAUGGUACAAGGGCAAGGCCAUCCCCCUCUUGCUGAGGUGUGGGAAGACAUCAAGUGGUACUUUAAACACUCUGUGAUUUUUCAAGAUCUGAGAUGUCAAUAAAGCAGCAUACACUUUACACAUGUACUCCAAUGUCAGUCCAAACUAGGAACCAACAAUGAUGAAAUAACAAAAAGGAAAACCCUACCAUUUUUUAAAAUCUUCACUUAAAAUAUUACUAACAAGCAGGUGAAAACCCAGCACCAGCGUUGUUCUUCAAA